rnacentral:tRNA from 1 species
GGAGAGGUGUCCGAGUGGCUUAAGGAGCACGCUUGGAAAGCGUGUGUAUGGGAAACUGUACCGAGGGUUCGAAUCCCUCUCUCUCCGCAA